rnacentral:rRNA from 1 species
CACGUAGGGGGCAAGCGUUGUCCGGAUUUAUUGGGCGUAAAGAGCUCGUAGGCGGCUCAGUAAGUCGGGUGUGAAACCUCCAGGCUCAACCUGGAGACGCCACCUGAUACUGCUGUGGCUAGAGUCCGGUAGGGGAGCGUGGAAUUCCUGGUGUAGCGGUGAAAUGCGCAGAGUAUCAGGAGGAACACCAGCGGCGAAGGCGGGUCUCUGGGCCGAUACUGACGCUGAGGAGCGAAAGCGUGGGGAGCGAACAGG